rnacentral:rRNA from 1 species
AGCCGAAGGGAAACCGAGUCUUAACUGGGCGUUAAGUUGCAGGGUAUAGACCCGAAACCCGGUGAUCUAGCCAUGGGCAGGUUGAAGGUUGGGUAACACUAACUGGAGGACCGAACCGACUAAUGUUGAAAAAUUAGCGGAUGACUUGUGGCUGGGGGUGAAAGGCCAAUCAAACCGGGAGAUAGCUGGUUCUCCCCGAAAGCUAUUUAGGUAGCGCCUCGUGAAUUCAUCUCCGGGGGUAGAGCACUGUUUCGGCAAGGGGGUCAUCCCGACUUACCAACCCGAUGCAAACUGCGAAUACCGGAGAAUGUUAUCACGGGAGACACACGGCGGGUGCUAACGUCCGUCGUGAAGAGGGAAACAACCCAGACCGCCAGCUAAGGUCCCAAAGUCAUGGUUAAGUGGGAAACGAUGUGGGAAGGCCCAGACAGCCAGGAUGUUGGCUUAGAAGCAGCCAUCAUUUAAAGAAAGCGUAAUAGCUCACUGGUCGAGUCGGCCUGCGCGGAAGAUGUAACGGGGCUAAACCAUGCACCGAAGCUGCGGCAGCGACGCUUAUGCGUUGUUGGGUAGGGGAGCGUUCUGUAAGCCUGUGAAGGUGUGCUGUGAGGCAUGCUGGAGGUAUCAGAAGUGCGAAUGCUGACAUAAGUAACGAUAAAGCGGGUGAAAAGCCCGCUCGCCGGAAGACCAAGGGUUCCUGUCCAACGUUAAUCGGGGCAGGGUGAGUCGACCCCUAAGGCGAGGCCGAAAGGCGUAGUCGAUGGGAAACAGGUUAAUAUUCCUGUACUUGGUGUUACUGCGAAGGGGGGACGGAGAAGGCUAUGUUGGCCGGGCGACGGUUGUCCCGGUUUAAGCGUGUAGGCUGGUUUUCCAGGCAAAUCCGGAAAAUCAAGGCUGAGGCGUGAUGACGAGGCACUACGGUGCUGAAGCAACAAAUGCCCUGCUUCCAGGAAAAGCCUCUAAGCAUCAGGUAACAUCAAAUCGUACCCCAAACCGACACAGGUGGUCAGGUAGAGAAUACCAAGGCGCUUGAGAGAACUCGGGUGAAGGAACUAGGCAAAAUGGUGCCGUAACUUCGGGAGAAGGCACGCUGAUAUGUAGGUGAAGUCCCUCGCGGAUGGAGCUGAAAUCAGUCGAAGAUACCAGCUGGCUGCAACUGUUUAUUAAAAACACAGCACUGUGCAAACACGAAAGUGGACGUAUACGGUGUGACGCCUGCCCGGUGCCGGAAGGUUAAUUGAUGGGGUCAGCGCAAGCGAAGCUCUUGAUCGAAGCCCCGGUAAACGGCGGCCGUAACUAUAACGGUCCUAAGGUAGCGAAAUUCCUUGUCGGGUAAGUUCCGACCUGCACGAAUGGCGUAAUGAUGGCCAGGCUGUCUCCACCCGAGACUCAGUGAAAUUGAACUCGCUGUGAAGAUGCAGUGUACCCGCGGCAAGACGGAAAGACCCCGUGAACCUUUACUAUAGCUUGACACUGAACAUUGAGCCUUGAUGUGUAGGAUAGGUGGGAGGCUUAGAAGUGUGGACGCCAGUCUGCAUGGAGCCGACCUUGAAAUACCACCCUUUAAUGUUUGAUGUUCUAACGUUGACCCGUAAUCCGGGUUGCAGACAGUGUCUGGUGGGUAGUUUGACUGGGGCGGUCUCCUCCUAAAGAGUAACGGAGGAGCACGAAGGUUGGCUAAUCCUGGUCGGACAUCAGGAGGUUAGUGCAAUGGCAUAAGCCAGCUUGACUGCGAGCGUGACGGCGCGAGCAGGUGCGAAAGCAGGUCAUAGUGAUCCGGUGGUUCUGAAUGGAAGGGCCAUCGCUCAACGGAUAAAAGGUACUCCGGGGAUAACAGGCUGAUACCGCCCAAGAGUUCAUAUCGACGGCGGUGUUUGGCACCUCGAUGUCGGCUCAUCACAUCCUGGGGCUGAAGUAGGUCCCAAGGGUAUGGCUGUUCGCCAUUUAAAGUGGUACGCGAGCUGGGUUUAGAACGUCGUGAGACAGUUCGGUCCCUAUCUGCCGUGGGCGCUGGAGAACUGAGGGGGGCUGCUCCUAGUACGAGAGGACCGGAGUGGACGCAUCACUGGUGUUCGGGUUGUCAUGCCAAUGGCACUGCCCGGUAGCUAAAUGCGGAAGAGAUAAGUGCUGAAAGCAUCUAAGCACGAAACUUGCCCCGAGAUGAGUUCUCCCUGACUCCUUGAGAGUCCUGAAGGAACGUUGAAGACGACGACGUUGAUAGGCCGGGUGUGUAAGCGCAGCGAUGCGUUGAGCUAACCGGUACUAAUGAACCGUGAGGCUUAACCUUACAACGCCGAAGCUGUU